UGCGGCAGCCGUACACAUGCAGUCGAGCGGAACGAUGGAGCUUGCUCCAGGCGUCGAGCGGCGGACGGGUGAGUAAUGCAUAGGAAUCUGCCCGGUAGUGGGGGAUAACCUGGGGAAACCCAGGCUAAUACCGCAUACGUCCUACGGGAGAAAGCAGGGGAUCUUCGGACCUUGCGCUAUCGGAUGAGCCUAUGUCGGAUUAGCUUGUUGGUGAGGUAAUGGCUCACCAAGGCGACGAUCCGUAGCUGGUCUGAGAGGAUGAUCAGCCACAUCGGGACUGAGACACGGCCCGAACUCCUACGGGAGGCAGCAGUGGGGAAUAUUGGACAAUGGGCGAAAGCCUGAUCCAGCCAUGCCGCGUGUGUGAAGAAGGCUUUCGGGUUGUAAAGCACUUUCAGUGAGGAAGAAAGCCUUGGGGCUAAUACCCCCGAGGAAAGACAUCACUCACAGAAGAAGCACCGGCUAACUCCGUGCCAGCAGCCGCGGUAAUACGGAGGGUGCGAGCGUUAAUCGGAAUUACUGGGCGUAAAGCGCGCGUAGGCGGCGUGAUAAGCCGGUUGUGAAAGCCCCGGGCUCAACCUGGGAACGGCAUCCGGAACU
rnacentral:rRNA from 1 species